ensembl:lncRNA
UAAAAGUGUCUUCCAUACAACGGGUAUAAUGGGUACCCGAAGCGAAAGUGUUUUUCGUAUGCGGAAUCCGGGAAAAUCAUGAAUAUUAAUGAGGGCAUAGACGGAGAUUAUCCUAUCACGUUGGUUAAAUCCCUGAUCCAAUCUGAAAAGGCCAAAAUCGGUCACAUGACUGCACCGUCGGCGCGAUCCAUUAAAGAAGGGUGCGAUCGACCGAUCGCAUAGAAGAUUCGGACGGCAAGGUUUGUCAGACAGACCCCUAGCUGAGGUGAUCUUCACAACACCAUAAAUGAGGACAGCUGUGACACAGAGGACAUAGCAGAUGUGUGAUCACGCAAUUGUCCAGGACAACCUGUCCAAUUAUCCAGUGCUGAAGAACCUUUUGCCAGAGGACUACAGCUAUCACGUGUGCUCCUUUGAGUCACAGGGGGACCAAAACAAUUUCAGGACUAACCUGAAGUUAAGGUUGACCCGGGAGGAGGAGGUGCAGAAGUGGCAGGAGGAUUUCCAGGCGUCCUCAGGCUUAACGUGGCGAAAGUCAAAGACCUAUCCAGAUGCUGGUGAUGGCUCUAACAAGUACAGGGUUGACUUGAGGUGCCACCACAACACCCGCACCAGUACUGCCAAGACUAGCAAAAACACCUCCUGCCCUGCAUUUAUGUACCUGAUUCUGAAAAGACAGACGUAUAGUAAAGGGCGGAAGUCAAGGUCUGAAGACCCCCACAUCAAGGAGGGGUACUACUUCCAUGUUGUUGUGAAAAACAGCCACAACCACUGUGUGCCCUUUGCGGCAGUCUCGGCUAAGAGAGAUGUCUCAAAAGAGACCGAAGGAAAAACUGAAGAAACUCUUUGAAAGUGGCCGGUUGCCAGGAAUCUCAUGUGGAGGGGAUGCCCAAACUGAGUUCUGUGAGGACUUUCCUCCAGAUGACACAUGAGUCAAUAUCACUAUGAAGUGCCUUUGGUGUCCUCAUCAGACUCACUCAGUCAUCAUGAAAAUGUAGCAGAAUAAUGAAAGUUUGAGGUCUUAUUAUAAGUGGCCAAACAUUUGCACACAUAUCAGUACAAUGAUAAGUCUCUUAAAAUGUGUUUCCUUCAUUUUACACAUAUUUUUUUCAUUUGAUGUACUUGAUUUUGGCAUGUCCCACACACUGCUCUGCUAACUACAAUGUGUGUAAUAAGUGGUUAAAUGAUACUAAAUAAAAAAAGAAUUUACAUGGUUUUAUUGUCCACGAUAAGUUAUUUGAUAAAACAAGUAAUUUUGAUCAUGUAUAUUCUAUUUUCAUAAUCAUAUUGAACAUUUUGCAUGUGUCCCUGAGAAUUGCUGUCCACCCUGUCAUUAUGGGGUAACUGACCCUUUAAGAAACCCUCUGAUGUUUUCAAUGACAUCACUACAAGCAUUUUGUCUUUCUUCAAUGGAGGCUGAAGCAGUGGCUAAUUGCAGAGUAAGUAUUUACACUUAUGUUUCGUAAUUUUCAUCAUAUUAUGUGUGUAGUUGGAUGUUGUCAAGCUUAACAUGUUCACUCUGUCAUCUUGAAAUAUCAAUUGAUAGAAUAUAUCAAUUGAUAAAUAUAUUUGUAAAAAAAAUGCCAAAAAUGUCCACCCCGUCAUUGUCCACCCUGUCAGCAAGCCUUCCAUGACAGGGUGGACAUGGUUCAUGACAGGAAGGACAUCCACUUAUUGUGGACAGUUUAGGCCACAUGCUGAUAAUGUUACACAUAUUACAACAGCUAUUACACACAUUUUAUAGCAGUACAUGCUAUACAUAGUGAGAAUGGACAAUAUGGAGAAAUAAAAUUGGCGAUAUCUGUAUCAGCAAGCCUAGUUUGAUAAGGCAAGCCUAGUUUACCGGGACUGCCAAUUAAAGUGUGUAAGGGAAUAUUUUGAAUCGCCUUUUUCAAGGAAUGAGAUCGAAAGGAGCUGAGAUAGCAAGGAGAUAUCGGGAACGUUGUGAUGCUGACCCAGACAGAAAAAGAAAGUACUUUGAGAAAGAAAGGGACAAAUGGAAAAAAGACAGAGAGACUGGAAAGAAGAAAGGUAUCAAUGAGCUCAGUGAGAGAGAAAAGAGGGCAAAAAGAAAGAAAUGGAGAGAGGCAAAAAGUCAAGCCAGAAACAAGGCCAGUUUUGCUACAGUCAGAGACACCACCCAGCUCCCCUGCUGAAACUCCUGAAAAUCUACGUGAGCCAGGGCCCUCCAGGUUAGAUCAUUGUUUGUUUAGCUGAUGAGACUCAUUAGAAAGUUUAGAUUUAUUUGAAGGCCAAUAUCAACUGUUUAUGUCCCCAUAAAAUGACAUAUUGAUAACUAAUUUGCUAAAAUCUUAUAAAAAAAUCCUUACAAAUAUUUGGUGUUUCAGGCAACGGCGUCAAGGGGAAAGCAUUCGAAGGAGUGCGAAGAGAAAUCUUUUAAAUUCGGCGCACUAUGCAGGCACAUCUGUACUUGAGGACGAGCUGGCACGUGUUUUCAAGUCACUCACACUCAAGCUGAGAGGUGACCCCAACUUCAUAGACCCUCUGACAUCAUUCAUCGCGUCCUAUGACAAAAUGACCACGGACAGUGCACUACGAUCAGCCUUUUCA